GAUGAAGAACGUAGCGAAAUGCGAUAAGUAAUGUGAAUUGCAGAAUUCAGUGAAUCAUCGAAUCUUUGAACGCACAUUGCGCCCGGCAGUACUCUGCCGGGCAUGCCUGUUCGAGCGUCAUUUCAACCCUCAAGCCCUGCUUGGUGUUGGGGCCCCACGGCUGCCGUGGGCCCUGAAAGGAAGUGGCGGGCUCGCUGUCACACCGAGCGUAGUAGCAUACAUCUCGCUCUGGGCGUGCUGCGGGUUCCGGCCGUUAAACCACCUUCAUAACCCAAGGUUGACCUCGGAUCAGGUAGGAAGACCCGCUGAACUUAAGCAUAUCAAUAAGCGGAGGA
rnacentral:misc_RNA from 1 species